rnacentral:rRNA from 1 species
UACGGGGGGGCAAGCGGUUGUUCGGAAUUACUGGGCGUAAAGGGCAUGCAGGCGGUCGGACGCGUUUCGGGUGACAGCGGGUGGCUUAACUACCCGAGUGGUCGAAAGACGGUUUGAACUUGAGGACGCGAGAGGGACACGGAAUUCCGGGUGGAGUGGUGAAAUGCGGUAGAGAUCCGGAGGAACACCGAAGGCGAAGGCAGUGUCCUGGCGCGUAACUGACGCUGAGGUGCGAAAGCCAGGGGAGCGAACGGG